rnacentral:rRNA from 1 species
UACGUAGGGCGCAAGCGUUGUCCGGAAUUAUUGGGCGUAAAGAGCUCGUAGGCGGCUUGUCGCGUCUGUUGUGAAAGCCCGGGGCUUAACCCCGGGUCUGCAGUGGAUACGGGCAGGCUAGAGGCAGGUAGGGGAGAACGGAAUUCCCGGUGUAGCGGUGAAAUGCGCAGAUAUCGGGAGGAACACCGGUGGCGAAGGCGGUUCUCUGGGCCUGUACUGACGCUGAGGAGCGAAAGCUAGGGGAGCAAACGGG